GGGGUGAUGGCGCAGCUGGGAGCGCGUUAGACUGAAGAACUAAACUUCAGUUUCCGACUUGUAUCGGGGUUAUCUAAAGGUCACCGGUUCGAUCCCGGUUCAUCCCA